rnacentral:rRNA from 1 species
ACGGCCGCAAGGUUAAAACUCAAAUGAAUUGACGGGGGCCCGCACAAGCGGUGGAGCAUGUGGUUUAAUUCGAUGCAACGCGAAGAACCUUACCUGGUCUUGACAUCCACGGAAGUUUUCAGAGAUGAGAAUGUGCCUUCGGGAACCGUGAGACAGGUGCUGCAUGGCUGUCGUCAGCUCGUGUUGUGAAAUGUUGGGUUAAGUCCCGCAACGAGCGCAACCCUUAUCCUUUGUUGCCAGCGGUCCGGCCGGGAACUCAAAGGAGACUGCCAGUGAUAAACUGGAGGAAGGUGGGGAUGACGUCAAGUCAUCAUGGCCCUUACGACCAGGGCUACACACGUGCUACAAUGGCGCAUACAAAGAGAAGCGACCUCGCGAGAGCAAGCGGACCUCAUAAAGUGCGUCGUAGUCCGGAUUGGAGUCUGCAACUCGACUCCAUGAAGUCGGAAUCGCUAGUAAUCGUGGAUCAGAAUGCCACGGUGAAUACGUUCCCGGGCCUUGUACACACCGCCCGUCACACCAUGGGAGUGGGUUGCAAAAGAAGUAGGUAGCUUAACCUUCGGGAGGGCGCUUACCAC